ACAUCUAAGGAAGGCAGCAGGCGCGAAAAUUACUCAAUACUAAUACAGUGAGGUAGUAACAAUAAAUAACACAGCCCAGCAUUUCAUGUUGGGCUUUUGGAAUGAGAACAAUUUAAAUCCAUUAUCGAGGAUCAAUUGGAGGGCAGGUCUGGUGCCAGCAGCCGCGGUAAUUCCAGCUCCAAUAGCGUAUAUUAAAGUUGCUGCAGUUAAAAAGCUCGUAGUUGGAUUUCUAGCGAGGCACGAGAAUAUCCACCUAUGGUGAAUACUUCUCUCGCCUUGCUCUUCUUUAGUUGAUGUCUCUGGCAUUAAGUUGUCGGAGUCCUGAGACUAAUCGUUUACUGUGAGAAAAUUAGAGUGUUCAAAGCAGGCUUAUGCCGUUGAAUAUAUUAGCAUGGAAUAAUAAGAUAGGACUUCGGUACUAUUUUGUUGGUUUGCGUACUGAUGUAAUGAUAAAUAGGGACUGGCGUGGGUAUUCGUAUUUUAAUGUCAGAGGUGAAAUUCUUAGAUUAUUGAAAGACGGACGACUGCGAAAGCAUCUACCAAGUAUGUUUUCAUUAAUCAAGAACGAAAGUAUGGGGAUCGAAGAUGACUAGAUACCAUCGUAGUCUAUACCAUAAACUAUGCCGA
rnacentral:rRNA from 1 species